UAAGGAAUAUUGGUCAAUGGACGCAAGUCUGAACCAGCCAUGCCGCGUGGAGGAUUAAGGCCCUCUGGGUUGUAAACUCCUUUUAUCUGGGAAGAAAUGUACUUUUUCUUGAGUACUUGACGGUACCAGAGGAAUAAGCACCGGCUAACUCCGUGCCAGCAGCCGCGGUAAUACGGAGGGUGCCAGCGUUAUCCGGCUUCACUGGGUUUAAAGGGUGCGUAGGUGGGCAGGUAAGUCAGUGGUGAAAUCUCCGGGCUUAACCCGGAAACUGCCGUUGAUACUAUGUGUCUUGAAUAUUGUGGAUGUCAGCGGAAUAUGACAUGUAGCGGUGAAAUGCUUAGAUAUGACAUAGAACACCAAUUGCGAAGGCAGCUUACUACACAAUCAUUGACGCUGAGGCACGAAAGCGUGGGGAUCAAACA
rnacentral:rRNA from 1 species